AAAAUUUUAUAAUUGGUGAAUUUUAAAGAAGAAGAACUGAAAGAAUUCAAGUAAUUCAAAAAAUCUGGGCCAAGCUUUGCUUCUAAGAUAAUCGAAAUUGGGCACAUCCAACUGAAAUCCAGAAGGACAUAAUAUAAGUAAACCGAAAUUAAGGUAAGGAAAAAACUAUUACUAUAUAUUGAUUGUGUGGGUAAGAGAAUUUCAUGGUAUUCAAACUAUGAUAACUAAAAUAUUUGUUGAAAAUUUUAAUCAAAUCUUAGCCGCGAAAAUCAUGUUAUAAUUAAAAGAAUAUACCGUCCUGAAAUGAUUUCUGCGAACGCCAUAGUGACACAAAGGAGGAGAAAUGGUGACCCAUUUCUUAUACCCAUAUAUAGCAAUGGCGAGCUCCAAAUUUCGUCUAAUUUCUGUCAGCGUGCUACGGACAUAAUGAAUGUAAAUGUUAUGGAACCUAACUGGAUUUUAACGAAUUCAGGGUGGGUCGAAUCUAAUCUAAUCAGGCGUUACUACAACUCUAAGUUGACUUAGUGUACAAUCCAAUCUAUAAAGUAGAUUUCAGUGGAUUAAGAUCCGAUUGAUGACUACAAAACUUUCAUCAGUUUGUUUUUAAUUGAUCGUCAAUAAAAAUAAAAAAAAAAACAUGAGAAAAAACCAAAAACACCUUCUCAUUAUAAAAUUUUCAAU